UACGUAGGGUCCGAGCGUUAAUCGGAAUUACUGGGCGUAAAGCGUGCGCAGGCGGUUGUGCAAGACAGAUGUGAAAUCCCCGGGCUCAACCUGGGAACUGCAUUUGUGACUGCACGGCUGGAGUGCGGCAGAGGGGGAUGGAAUUCCGCGUGUAGCAGUGAAAUGCGUAGAUAUGCGGAGGAACACCGAUGGCGAAGGCAAUCCCCUGGGCCUGCACUGACGCUCAUGCACGAAAGCGUGGGGAGCAAACAGG
rnacentral:rRNA from 1 species